rnacentral:rRNA from 1 species
UAAGGGCGCGCGGUGGAUGCCUAGGCUCUCGGAGGCGAAGAAGGACGCGAUAAGCCGCGAUAGUCCACGGCGAGGUGCAAGUAACCCUUGACCCGUGGGUUUCCGAAUGGGGCAACCCGGCCGUCUAGAUGACGGUCAUGCAUUAUCAUGCAGGCGAACGCGGGGAACUGAAACAUCUCAUUACCCGCAGGAGAAGAAAACAACAGUGAUUCCCCCAGUAGUGGCGAGCGAACGGGGAAGAGCCCAAACCGGUAGCGUUUCGGCGAUACCGGGGUCAUGGGACCACGCCAUUCGAAACAAGAUGAAGUGCAAUUACCUGGAAAGGUAAGCCGCGGAGGGUGAUAGCCCCGUGCACGUCAAUUCUUGUGGAGAUAGUGGAAUCCCGAGUAGGGCGGGACACGAGAAAUCCUGCCUGAAUUCGCCAGGACCCCCUGGCAAGGCUAAAUACUCCCGAGAGACCGAUAGUGAACCAGUACCGCGAGGGAAAGGUGAAAAGUACCCCGAGCAGGGGGGUGAAAUAGACCCUGAACCCGCGCGCCUACAAGCGGUCGGAGCUGCCUUGUGCAGUGACGGCGUGCCUUUUGCAUAAUGAGCCUACGAGUUAGUCGUCACCAGCGAGGUUAAGGGCUUCAGGCCCGUCAGCCGAAGUGAAAGCGAGCCUUAACAGGGCGUCAAGUUGGUGGCGCUAGACGCGAAACCUUGUGAUCUACCCACGAGCAGGUUGAAGUCGCGGUAACACGUGAUGGAGGACCGAACCGGUAAACGUUGAAAAGUUUUCGGAUGACUCGCGGGUAGGGGUGAAAGGCCAAUCAAACUGGGAAAUAGCUCGUACUCUCCGAAAUGCAUUUCGGUGCAGCCUGUGAUGUUCUGUUCCAGAGGUAGAGCUACUGGUUGGACGCGAGGGCUUCACCGCCUAUCAAAUCCGGAUAAACUCCGAAUGCUGGAACACGAAAUCAUGGAGUGAGCCCGCGGGUGCUAAGGUCCGCGGACGAGAGGGAAAGAACCCGGACCACCGGCUAAGGUCCCGGAUGGACAGUUAAGUUGAUCAAACGAGGUGGGAUCGCUGAGACAGCUAGGAUGUUGGCUUGGAAGCAGCCAUUCAUUUAAAGAGUGCGUAACAGCUCACUAGUCGAGCGAUCCCGCGUGGAUAAUACACGGGCAUUAAACUGUCAACCGAAGCCGUGGGGUCAGCGAAAAGCUGACCGGUAGGAGAGCAUUCCUGCCAGCGUUGAAGGUCACCCGCGAGAGUGACUGGAGCGGCAUGAAAAGCAAAUGUAGGCAUAAGUAACGAUAAUGGGGGCGAGAACCCCCCACGCCGCAAGACCAAGGCUUCCCCGGCAAUGUCAAUCAGCCGGGGGUCAGCCGGCCUCUAAGGCUAACCCGAAGGGGGAUGCCGACGAGAAACGGGUUAACAUUCCCGUGCUUCUCGUCACCGUGACGCGGUGACGGGGUGAUGAAUGGACCGCGCGCUGACGGAAUAGCGCGUUGAAGGCCGUACCCUUCGAGGGUGGUAGUCAAGCACGCCACCCGAGGCGACAGCCGAUAGUACCACGAGACUCCGGUCGAGUGGAUAGCGUCCAGGCAAUUUACCCCCGAGAAAACCCGCUAAACUUCAAGUGACGAGGAACCGUACUGUAAACGGACACACGUGGUCGGGUAGAACAUACCAAGGCGCUCGAGUGAUUCAUGGUCAAGGAACUAGGCAAAAUAGUCCUGUAACUUCGGGAAAAAGGACGCUCUAGUGAUAGAGCCGCAGAGUAAUGGCCCAGGCGACUGUUUACCAAAAACACAUGGCUAUGCCAAAUCGAAAGAUGACGUAUAUGGCCUGACACCUGCCCGGUGCCGGAAGGUUAAGAGGAGAGCUCAUCGGAAACGAGAAGGUUUGAAUUGAAGCCCCGGUAAACGGCGGCCGUAACUAUAACGGUCCUAAGGUAGCGAAAUUCCUUGUCGGGUAAGUUCCGACCUGCACGAAU